UCCGCCUUCCUUUUUGACAGGCGUGUCUUGUCAGAUCACGUUUGCUGUAUUUAAAGAUGUUUCUCGCGAACAAACGGCUUCAGUAUCUCUGUCAACAUGCGGGGGAUAACAGCAUCUUGGAUGGUCUUCGUCAUCGUAGCGUUUGUAGCUACCUUUGAAUCAUAUGGUUCUGCGUGUGUGGAACAGAAACCGUGUGUAAAUCGAUGUCCUUUUCGAUACCAACACGACAGCAAUGGUUGCAACACCUGUAAAUGUUGCCCGGUGUUAAGGUGUCCGUUUUGCUGGCGUGGUUACAUCAUUGCCAAGAACGACAACCAGUGUCUGUCUUGUCAUUGUAAAUGGGGACUCUGAACGUUUCUUUCUGUCCCUAUAGAUUAUGUCAUCUACUUCAACUUAUUGUCAAAUUGUGUAUAUCAUUCCCGGCUUGAUCUCGGUCUCUUAACAAGAAUGUUCUUUUUGCGUUGUCAUUUAUAUUGGGUUUUUUUGUGUCUGUGUACUAAUAUCAUAUAGAUUCAUUGCUGUAAAAUAACACAAGAACAUAAUUUUUAACGAUGUUAUUAUUUACUUAUUUAGUUUUGUCUCCAAUGAAAUUGUUUCAUCAGAACAAUCACUAUCAUUAUUCUUUGUGUUCACAAUCUCAGACGAAAUAGCCUCUACCUUUUAGCAAACAUAACAUGCGCGUGUUUUACCAGCAUUCAAACUACAACUCAAUUGUUAAUCAAUUAAGACAUAUAAUAAAUGUUAAUUUUUUA